GGAUAGCUGCUUGGUGCCGAAAAUGCAUCUAUUUGAAGCCAAAGUUGGAGAAAUUGGCAGCUAAAUUCCAUACCAAAGGAAGAAAAUUUUAUU